GACGAACGCUGGCGGCGUGCUUAACACAUGCAAGUCGAACGGAAAGGCCCUGCUUGCAGGGUACUCGAGUGACGAACGGGUGAGUAACACGUGGGUGAUCUGCCCUGCACUUCGGGAUAAGCCUGGGAAACUGGGUCUAAUACCGGAUAGGAGCCAUUUUUAGUGUGAUGGUUGGAAAGUUUUUUCGGUGUAGGAUGAGCUCGCGGCCUAUCAGCUUGUUGGUGGGGUAAUGGCCUACCAAGGCGGCGACGGGUAGCCGGCCUGAGAGGGUGGACGGCCACAUUGGGACUGAGAUACGGCCCAGACGCCGACGGGAGGCAGCAGUGGGGAAUAUUGCACAAUGGGCGCAAGCCUGAUGCAGCGACGCCGCGUGGGGGAUGACGGCCUUCGGGUUGUAAACUCCUUUCGCUAGGGACGAAGCUUUUUGUGACGGUACCUAGAUAAGAAGCACCGGCUAACUACGUG
rnacentral:rRNA from 1 species